rnacentral:snoRNA from 1 species
AAUGAACCACAAAAUUUCCAGCUUUCUUGUAGCAGCAAUUUAAACAAUUAAACAGGUGCAAACAGCAAGAGGGUCUUGUCCCUUUUGGGGAGCUGUCACUUCUGCCUCUAAAGUGAAUUUGGAAGUUCUCUACCU